rnacentral:lncRNA from 14 species
CAGAGGUGCAGUUUGCAGACAACUCCAUGCUGAGGAGAGAUGAUGCAAAGCACAAAGCUUCUGAGGAACCCUGAUGGCACCACACGGAACUUUGGCAGGCAAAGAAGACACUCCCCUCUUCCUAAGAACUGAGACAGACAGAGCUGGAUGCUGAAUAGAAGAUAGCUGAGAAACACCUGGGGAACUUAACAAGAGCUUGAGGAGACAUGAAGGCUGCCUUUUUGGAAAGAAGGGUAAAAUAGAGAGAAUAAGCAGUUCUGGUCCCAGGCAAUUUCUA